rnacentral:misc_RNA from 1 species
GGAAAUCCCAAUGUGGAUAACUAAAGAUCCAACAGAACAGAAAGCCAGAGGCAUGAUGAUUGACUGUGACUGAAGAAACCUCAAAAUGUUUUGCAGAAAACUAUAUGCAAACAAUCCAGGAAUGAGGAACCUCAAGAAUAUGCCGGCUUCUCUAGCUAUGUCAGGAUCUUGAUGAAGUAAAAUCAGAAUCAUAUCAGAAUACCACCAAAUGACAGAAAUCACCACGGAAAAGAAGAACGAUAUGAUGCACGAUGCCUGCAAAUGUAUACCCAACAUUCUGUACAUUUUUGCUCCGUAUCCUUGGCCGCAUAAUGUCUCAAGUGCACCACUUAGACCAACCAUGAAACUGAAACCAGUAACCAUAGCCCAUGAAUUAGCGAGAUUUGAAGCAGCAAGCUCG